CCUGUGAGCGUAUAGUGGCUCUGACACACCAACCCGAUUAUCGGCCGUUGGACAGUGUGGCGAGGUCAGUGACUUGAGUCUGUUCAGUCAGUGAUAUGUUGUUCUGGAGU